CUUUUUAAUUGAAAGCUGGGAUGAAAGGUAGAAACUAAGAAGAGAGUUUUAUUUGAUAAAUUUGAAUUUAAAUUAAAAGUAAAAAUGCUUUUGUUAAUUUUUGGGACGAGAAGACCCUAGAAGCUUAAAAUUUUUAUAUUUUUGAUUGGGGCAAUUUAUGAAGAGAUUAAUUUUUAUAAAAUUUAAAAUUGAGGAGAAUAAAGUUACUCUAGGGAUAACAGCGUAAUUUAGUUAACAAGUUCUUAUUAAUAAUUAGGUUUGCGACCUCGAUGUUGAAUUAAUAUUUAUUUUUGGUGAAGAAGCUUAGAAGGGGAAGUCUGUUCGACUAUUAAAAUAUUACGUGAUCUGAGUUCAGACCGGA
rnacentral:rRNA from 1 species